rfam:Pteropus alecto contig62301, whole genome shotgun sequence.
GUCUACGGCCAUGCCACCCUGAACAAGCCUGAUCCUGUGUGAUCUUAGAAGCUAAGUAGGGUUGGACCUGGUUAGUACUUGGAUGGGAGACCACCUAGGAAUAUCAAGUGCUGUAGGCG